GCAGGCUCACUCUGCGUGUGACUACAAUAGUUACAGUGCUUUUAAAGUCUGCUAGAGUAGCAGUCCAGAAUAAAACAAACAUGUCCUUCCUUGUGGAUUUCUGUUUCAAUUGUCUUGGCACAUCACA
ensembl:snoRNA